GACGAACGCUGGCGGCGUGCUUAACACAUGCAAGUCGAACGGAAAGGCCCUGCUUUUGUGGGGUGCUCGAGUGGCGAACGGGUGAGUAACACGUGAGUAACCUGCCCUUGACUUUGGGAUAACUUCAGGAAACUGGGGCUAAUACCGGAUAGGAGCUCCUGCUGCAUGGUGGGGGUUGGAAAGUUUCGGCGGUUGGGGAUAGACUCGCGGCUUAUCAGCUUGUUGGUGGGGUAGUGGCUUACCAAGGCUUUGACGGGUAGCCGGCCUGAGAGGGUGACCGGCCACAUUGGGACUGAGAUACGGCCCAGACUCCUACGGGAGGCAGCAGUGGGGAGUAUUGCACAAUGGGCGGAAGCCUGAUGCAGCAACGCCGCGUGCGGGAUGACGGCCUUCGGGUUGUAAACCGCUUUCGCCUGUGACGAAGCGUGAGUGACGGUAAUGGGUAAAGAAGCACCGGCUAACUACGUG
rnacentral:rRNA from 1 species